UACGUAGGUGGCAAGCGUUGUUCGGAAUUAUUGGGCGUAAAGGGCGCGUAGGCGGUCGAUUAAGUCAGCUGUGAAAGCCCGGGGCUCAACCCCGGAGGGUCGGCUGAUACUGGUUGACUAGAGUACGGAAGAGGUAGCUGGAAUUCCCGGUGUAGCGGUGAGAUGCGUAGAUAUCGGGAGGAACACCUGAGGCGAAGGCGGGCUACUGGGCCGAUACUGACGCUGAUGCGCGAAAGCCAGGGGAGCGAACGGG
rnacentral:rRNA from 1 species